GACAUACACCCUCUGUCUGGAAAUACUCGUCAAAGAAAUGUAUAAAAAUGAAUAUAUCUAGAACUAAAAUACGUCUAGAUAUAUUCAUUCCUUCGACGAGUAUUUUCGGACGGAGGGAGUAGUAC
rfam:Triticum aestivum genome assembly, contig: Triticum_aestivum_CS42_TGACv1_scaffold_223389_3B